ensembl:lncRNA
CACGGCAGAAGAUGGAGUGGGAAAGCGGGUGUUUGUCUCGCUCUUUCGGGAGCCGGAGCAGACCGUCAGCCCGCAGCAGCUCGGGUUCCCGACGCGGAGCGCUCGCCUGCCUCGGCCGCCGCCAGAGCGGUCCGAAGACGCCCACACUGCCGCCACCGGCGCCAAGCUGGAGCGCGACGUCCGUGCCCGGACCUGCCCGGCCUCUCUUCCUCUGAUCUGUGGGACCAUGCGACAGAGAGGACCGGUCACUCACUUCGUUUCAAGGUGACUUGUGGGGUCCGGAGCCGUUUGCAUCUGUCUGCUGCAGUUUGGAAACAGAGUAACGGCCCAAGAGAAGCCCGGCAAACUUGUCCAAACCACACAGAACUUCAGGCCCUACAAACGCCAACUGGGCAUGGAGCACAGGAAGAGUUCUUCUCCCUCGAAAAUGCCUGACAUCCAUGAAGAGCUUUACAAUUUACAAAGCUAUGUGACAUCCACCAUCUCAUCUUUAGAUCAACAAUGUGAGCUCAGGGAUGCCACCCCCAGCAGUCAGUUCAGCUGCAGGGAAGAGAGAACCUCUCCAGCUAUCUUAAGAAGAGGAAAUUACCCCUAGAAAUGAGGUGCUUACAGAAUUCUUGAACAGACCCGAGAGAGGCAACCUCUAGACUCUCAAAACAACUGAACUGUUCACCAAGAUUGCUGCGCUCUCUGCCACUAGCAGGAAGGUAAGGAGACGGGGGCUGCCUCCAGAGAUGUUGAUUUCCAGAGUGAGCUAUUAUAGCUGUGAUCCAGGGAUCAGGAAGCCACUGCCACCACAGCUGGUGACUGAGCAAACACUAGAAUGUUGUCACAGGCCCACCCACAGUGCGUCCAGCAACAGCAGCCAGAGCAGCAGACAAAAGGUCUCUGCCUCACAUCUGCCUUCCUAACCUAACACAAGUGCAUCUAAUUGGAGAAACUGAAUUCUCAUCCACAGCCCUAGCUGCAAAGGUGUCUGGGAAAUGUAGUUUGGGCCUUCCAGGCACUGCAGACUGCAGAGGCACCAUAGGACAGGGUCAGAAUGGAAGCUGAAUGCCUGUUGCCACACCUCCAUUUUCUGCAGAUAAGGAAGCUAAGGUUCAGAGAGGUUAAGAAACG